rnacentral:lncRNA from 1 species
UGCUGUUGCUGAGGAACAUCCAAAUCUGUCCUCAGACGAGACGAGUUCGGGUGACCUCGUUCGUCUCUAAAACUUAUACCCUCGUCUACUGCAGACGCUUCGCUUGUCAACAAAUGACGUACAUCUCAAAAAACAGUACAAAAAUGCAUUACACUAAAAGGAAAAAUCUGGAUGAUGGAAGGCAGUGCAAUGUAUGGAGUAGAUAGGUCAUCUGGAGAGAAGUACUUUAUGGUCACCUGCAUCUGAUGAACAAAGACAGCGCUCUGGAACUUAAGAAUGAAAAAUCUCACUAAGGUAAGCCACAACAAUGUCAUAUACUGCCUUACAAGCCAAGCGUGAGAUUUUAUAAUUUAUUGUAAACUUAACCAGAAG